rnacentral:lncRNA from 10 species
AGCUACAUCCGUCACCUGACACGGCCCUACCAGGAACAGCCGCGCUCCCGCGGAUUCUGGUGCUGCUCGCGUCCCCGCUCCCCUAUUCCCCUUAUUUUAUUCCUGGCUCCCCUCGUCGAAAGUCUUCCAUUCUUCAAACUAGAUUAUUUAAAAAUGAAAAAGGAAGAAAGGAAAGCGAGGUCAUCUCAUUGCUCUAUCCGCCAAUCAGGAGGCUGAAUGUCAGUUUUGAACUAAAAGCCGCUCCGCUCCUCUUCUAGAUUUGGAAAACAAGCGAAAUUAAACUAAACCGCUGCACGCCUCUGACGCGACAUCUGGACACGGCGCGGCGCUGGCGCUGCCGGAGCUGUCGACCCGGCCUGGCGCCGGACUAGUGUCCCUUUUGAUGAGAAGAAUAAGCCUCAUUCUGAUUCAACAGCAGAGAUCAAAGAAAAGACUUCUGUUUUCUGGCCACCAGAUAUAUGUUAUCUGUGCUUAAAGAAUUGAAAAACACACAUCAAAGGAGAAUUUUCUUGGAAAGAGAGGGUUCAAGCAUCACUGUUAGGUGUGCUGGAAUCCUUUCCCGAGUCAGUACUGCUUUCUAGAAGAAAACCGGGGAGAUCUAUUUGGAAUGUAUCUAACUCCAAAGAAACCAUCAGAGGUAACAGGUUAGGAAAUUGAAAUACAGAAAGAUGAAAAGUGAUUUGCCCAAGCAUAUAGAUCAAAGCUGUGGCAGAACCAGGACUGGAACCUAUAUCUCUCUACUAAUGGUUUUUUUAAAAAAAUAACCUUGUUUCAAAAAUAUUAAAAAGUCACAAGAAAGGUAAACAUGUGGAUAAACAAAAUGAAGAAAAUAAAAAUUAUCCAGUAAUAACAUAUUGGCAUAUGUCUUUCUGGUAUAUUUUCCUGUGUUGUCAUCAUUAUCAUCUCCAUCAUCAUUAUAUCCAUCAUUAUCAUCAUCAUCAUCAUCAUCAUCAUCAUUAUCAUCACCAUAGUGAACAUGUAAUGCUUACCUAGUGCCAGAUGCUGUCUAGGCAUUUUACAUGUGUUACUGGUAACUCAUGUAAUCCUCAUAACAACCUUAUAAGGUGGUUGCUAUUAUCCCCAUGUUACAUAUGAAGAGACAGAAGCAUAAAGAAGUUGCACCGCUGGUAAUUGGCUGGGAUUUGAACUUAAGCAGUCUAACCUUAGAGUAAUGAUUUUAACAACUAUGCUAUAUACAUACAAAUUUACAAAAUAAAACUGGGCUCAGACAAUAA